rnacentral:sRNA from 1 species
UUUACUUGCUACACACAGCGCCGAGAGC